rnacentral:rRNA from 1 species
GACGAACCGUCCAAACGUUAUUCGGAAUCACCGGGCUUACAGAGUUCGUAGGCGGUCUGGAAAGUUGGGUGUGAAAUCCCUCGGCCUAACCGAGGAACUGCGCUUGAAACUACCAGACUCGAGGGAGAUAGAGGAAAGCGGAACUGAUGGUGGAGCGGUGAAAUGCGUUGAUAUCAUCAGGAACACCGGUGGCGAAGGCGGCUUUCGGGGUCUUACCUGACGCUGAGGAACGAAAGCCAGGGGAGCGAACGGG